ACCCCAAGAAAUAAGCCGACAACUUUUUUUUAUUCCAUAAUUAAGUUGUUGCUAUGAUUGGGAACAGUAUUCUCUGAUGUGUGUAUGUAGGGCGGUAGCUCUCACGCUUGCUUUACAAAGAAAAUUCAGAAACA